rnacentral:lncRNA from 1 species
CUAGAGACGGCUUUUGGCCACCUUUGAGAAUCAGGGUCAAACUUGGAAGGGCCUGCAUUUGUCACACUUCCUCGGACACUAAUUUGGAUAGUUCAGGCCCAGAGACGGCUUCCCGGGUUAGUGUGCCUGACAACACUGAAGAAAAAUUGUGACAUUUUCCUUCCCCAGAAUUACUUCGUUUUAUACAUUUCACUUCUCUUCUGAAAUCACAGCAAUGCCAGUUUGCGCCUUUUGGUCUGAGGAACGCAGGCCCUGGCCACUACCAGGAAAAAGUAUUUACUUUUAAAACUUGAAUGUAUAUCUUUACCGUAUGCCUAGUACAGUAGUGCUUGGAAGAAACAGAUUAGUAAGACAAAAUAUAUGUCUUCAAGAACACUUACGUUCUGAGAAAGAAUUCUGAAUGCAGAUUCUAAUGUCUGUAGGCUUCACUAGCUUCCUGCUUCUCAAAUCCCUUGAAAAGAUGAGAUUUUUUUUUCGUGGAGUUCACGUCUAAUCCUUUGCACAUGGCCUGCUAUCAACAAUCCUCUACAAUGAUUCUCAGCAUCACCUAGGGAGCUUAUGUAAAAUCUCAAAUUCCUGGGCCCUAUCCCCAGAGUUUCUUAUCAAGUAAGUCUGCAUUGGGAUCUGAGGAUUUGCAUCUCUAACAAAAAUUCCUAGGCGAUGCUCACACUGUUGGUGUAAGGUUUCCUUGAUGGAGAACUAUCAAAGCAGUCAAAGCUAUCAAAAUAAAAAAGAAUUCUGAUUGGGUGCAGUGGCUCACACCUGUCAUUCCAGCACUUUGAGAGGCCAAGGUGGGCAGAUCACAUGAGGCCAGGAGUUCAAGACCAGCCUGGCCAACAUGGCAGAAACCCCAUCUCUACUAAAAAUACCAAAAUUAGCCGGGCAUGGUGGAACACACCUGCAAUCCCAGCUACUCGGGAGGCUGAGGCAAGAGAAUCGCUUGAACCUGGGAGGCAGAAGUUGCAGUGAAACAAGUUGGUGCCAAUGCAUUCCAGCCUGGAUGAUGGAGCGAGACUCUGUCUCAAGAAAAAAAAAACAAAAACAAAAACAGAA